rfam:Canis lupus familiaris chromosome 30, whole genome shotgun sequence.
AUCUUUUUGUGGUUCAUAAGAUGAUGAAUAGGGUUUUCACACUAUGUGUGAGAUGUAGCUACCUCAAAUCUUGUGACAGUAACAACAUGUUACAUUAGAAA